AAACUUUUUUUCACUACCCUUCAUACUACAGCUGUCGAAAAACCACAGCAACGUCGACAGACCUGGAGGCAUAGCUGUACUUGUUUAACUCACAACGACAACGGGUCAAUUAUGAGUGAAGAACCGUUCACCAAAUGAAGACCGCAGCCAGGUGACGGGAUUCUGUGGUAAUCGCAAACAGAGUGAAAUGCACACGGUGAGUAAUGAACGCAGACCUUCAGUGCCGGACCUCUGAC